rnacentral:rRNA from 1 species
GGGUUGUGAGGUUAAGCGACUAAGCGUACACGGUGGAUGCCCUGGCAGUCAGAGGCGAUGAAGGACGUGCUAAUCUGCGAUAAGCGUCGGUGAGGUGAUAUGAACCGUUAUAACCGGCGAUUUCCGAAUGGGGAAACCCAGUGUGUUUCGACACACUAUCAUUAACUGAAUCCAUAGGUUAAUGAGGCGAACCGGGGGAACUGAAACAUCUAAGUACCCCGAGGAAAAGAAAUCAACCGAGAUUCCCCCAGUAGCGGCGAGCGAACGGGGAGGAGCCCAGAGCCUGAAUCAGUGUGUGUGUUAGUGGAAGCGUCUGGAAAGGCGCGCGAUACAGGGUGACAGCCCCGUACACAAAAAUGCACAUGCUGUGAGCUCGAUGAGUAGGGCGGGACACGUGGUAUCCUGUCUGAAUAUGGGGGGACCAUCCUCCAAGGCUAAAUACUCCUGACUGACCGAUAGUGAACCAGUACCGUGAGGGAAAGGCGAAAAGAACCCCGGCGAGGGGAGUGAAAAAGAACCUGAAACCGUGUACGUACAAGCAGUGGGAGCCUCUUAAUGGGGUGACUGCGUACCUUUUGUAUAAUGGGUCAGCGACUUAUAUUCUGUAGCAAGGUUAACCGAAUAGGGGAGCCGAAGGGAAACCGAGUCUUAACUGGGCGUUAAGUUGCAGGGUAUAGACCCGAAACCCGGUGAUCUAGCCAUGGGCAGGUUGAAGGUUGGGUAACACUAACUGGAGGACCGAACCGACUAAUGUUGAAAAAUUAGCGGAUGACUUGUGGCUGGGGGUGAAAGGCCAAUCAAACCGGGAGAUAGCUGGUUCUCCCCGAAAGCUAUUUAGGUAGCGCCUCGUGAAUUCAUCUCCGGGGGUAGAGCACUGUUUCGGCAAGGGGGUCAUCCCGACUUACCAACCCGAUGCAAACUGCGAAUACCGGAGAAUGUUAUCACGGGAGACACACGGCGGGUGCUAACGUCCGUCGUGAAGAGGGAAACAACCCAGACCGCCAGCUAAGGUCCCAAAGUCAUGGUUAAGUGGGAAACGAUGUGGGAAGGCCCAGACAGCCAGGAUGUUGGCUUAGAAGCAGCCAUCAUUUAAAGAAAGCGUAAUAGCUCACUGGUCGAGUCGGCCUGCGCGGAAGAUGUAACGGGGCUAAACCAUGCACCGAAGCUGCGGCAGCGACACUAUGUGUUGUUGGGUAGGGGAGCGUUCUGUAAGCCUGUGAAGGUGGCCUGUGAGGGUUGCUGGAGGUAUCAGAAGUGCGAAUGCUGACAUAAGUAACGAUAAAGCGGGUGAAAAGCCCGCUCGCCGGAAGACCAAGGGUUCCUGUCCAACGUUAAUCGGGGCAGGGUGAGUCGACCCCUAAGGCGAGGCCGAAAGGCGUAGUCGAUGGGAAACAGGUUAAUAUUCCUGUACUUGGUGUUACUGCGAAGGGGGGACGGAGAAGGCUAUGUUGGCCGGGCGACGGUUGUCCCGGUUUAAGCGUGUAGGCUGGUUUUCCAGGCAAAUCCGGAAAACCAAGGCUGAGGCGUGAUGACGAGGCACUACGGUGCUGAAGCGACAAAUGCCCUGCUUCCAGGAAAAGCCUCUAAGCAUCAGGUAACAUCAAAUCGUACCCCAAACCGACACAGGUGGUCAGGUAGAGAAUACCAAGGCGCUUGAGAGAACUCGGGUGAAGGAACUAGGCAAAAUGGUGCCGUAACUUCGGGAGAAGGCACGCUGAUAUGUAGGUGAAGCGACUUGCUCGUGGAGCUGAAAUCAGUCGAAGAUACCAGCUGGCUGCAACUGUUUAUUAAAAACACAGCACUGUGCAAACACGAAAGUGGACGUAUACGGUGUGACGCCUGCCCGGUGCCGGAAGGUUAAUUGAUGGGGUUAGCGGUAACGCGAAGCUCUUGAUCGAAGCCCCGGUAAACGGCGGCCGUAACUAUAACGGUCCUAAGGUAGCGAAAUUCCUUGUCGGGUAAGUUCCGACCUGCACGAAUGGCGUAAUGAUGGCCAGGCUGUCUCCACCCGAGACUCAGUGAAAUUGAACUCGCUGUGAAGAUGCAGUGUACCCGCGGCAAGACGGAAAGACCCCGUGAACCUUUACUAUAGCUUGACACUGAACAUUGAGCCUUGAUGUGUAGGAUAGGUGGGAGGCUUUGAAGUGUGGACGCCAGUCUGCAUGGAGCCGACCUUGAAAUACCACCCUUUAAUGUUUGAUGUUCUAACGUUGGCCCGUAAUCCGGGUUGCGGACAGUGUCUGGUGGGUAGUUUGACUGGGGCGGUCUCCUCCUAAAGAGUAACGGAGGAGCACGAAGGUUGGCUAAUCCUGGUCGGACAUCAGGAGGUUAGUGCAAUGGCAUAAGCCAGCUUGACUGCGAGCGUGACGGCGCGAGCAGGUGCGAAAGCAGGUCAUAGUGAUCCGGUGGUUCUGAAUGGAAGGGCCAUCGCUCAACGGAUAAAAGGUACUCCGGGGAUAACAGGCUGAUACCGCCCAAGAGUUCAUAUCGACGGCGGUGUUUGGCACCUCGAUGUCGGCUCAUCACAUCCUGGGGCUGAAGUAGGUCCCAAGGGUAUGGCUGUUCGCCAUUUAAAGUGGUACGCGAGCUGGGUUUAGAACGUCGUGAGACAGUUCGGUCCCUAUCUGCCGUGGGCGCUGGAGAACUGAGGGGGGCUGCUCCUAGUACGAGAGGACCGGAGUGGACGCAUCACUGGUGUUCGGGUUGUCAUGCCAAUGGCACUGCCCGGUAGCUAAAUGCGGAAGAGAUAAGUGCUGAAAGCAUCUAAGCACGAAACUUGCCCCGAGAUGAGUUCUCCCUGACUCCUUGAGGGUCCUGAAGGAACGUUGAAGACGACGACGUUGAUAGGCCGGGUGUGUAAGCGCAGCGAUGCGUUGAGCUAACCGGUACUAAUGAACCGUGAGGCUUAACCUUACAACGCCGAAG